CGCCUGUUUAUCAAAAACAUCUCUUCUCGUUAGUUUUUGAAGUAUGGCCUGCCCACUGACCUUGAAUGUUGAAGGGCCGCGGUAUUUUGACCGUGCAAAGGUAGCAUAGUCAUUAGUUCUUUAAUUGUGAUCUGGUAUGAAUGGCUUGACGAGGCAUAAGCUGUCUUAAUUUUGAAUUGUUUAUUGAAUUUGGUCUUUGAGUUAAAAUUCUUAGAUGUUUUUAUGGGACGAGAAGACCCUAUAGAGUUUAACAUUUAUUCACGGUCUCUUUCUGUUUGUGAGGGUUUACUAGGGCUGUUUAAUAUGUUUUGUUGGGGUGAUGGGAGGGAUAUUAUUUAACCCCUCCUUUGUGUUGUUAUAUUUAUUUAUGUUUGCUUGAUCCAUUUAUUUUGAUUGUAAGAUUAAAUUACCUUAGGGAUAACAGCGUAA
rnacentral:rRNA from 1 species